rnacentral:rRNA from 1 species
UACAGAGGGGGCAAGCGUUGUUCGGAAUUACUGGGCGUAAAGGGCGCGUAGGCGGCCUUCUAAGUCGAACGUGAAAUCCCCGGGCUCAACCCGGGAACUGCGUCCGAUACUGGAAGGCUUGAAUCCGGGAGAGGGAUGCGGAAUUCCAGGUGUAGCGGUGAAAUGCGUAGAUAUCUGGAAGAACACCCGUGGCGAAGGCGGCUACUCUGGGACGGUACUGACGCUGAGACGCGAAAGCGUGGGGAGCGAACAGG